AGUGAACGCUGGCGGCAGGCCUAACACAUGCAAGUCGAACGAGUGGCGGACGGGUGAGUAAUGUCUGGGAAACUGCCUGAUGGAGGGGGAUAACUACUGGAAACGGUAGCUAAUACCGCAUACUCUCGGAUGUGCCCAGAUGGGGUUAGCUAGUAGGUGGGGUACAGGCUCACCUAGGCGAAGAUCCCUAGCAGGUCUGAGAGGAUGACCAUCCACACUGGAACUGAGCCCCGGUCCAGACUCCUACGUGAGGCAGCAGUGGGGAAUAUUGCACAAUGGUCGCACGCCUGAUGCAGCCAUGCCGCGUGUAUGAAGAAGGCCUUCGGGUUGUAAAGUACUUUCAGCGGGGAGGCGUUACCCGCAGAAGAAGCACCGGCUAACUCCGUGCCAGCAGCCGCGGUAAUAC
rnacentral:rRNA from 1 species